rnacentral:rRNA from 1 species
GGCGAACGCUGGCGGCGUGCUUAACACAUGCAAGUCGAACGGUAAGGCUCCAGCUUGCUGGGGUACACGAGUGGCGAACGGGUGAGUAACACGUGGGUGACCUGCCCUGCACUUCGGGAUAAGCCUGGGAAACUGGGUCUAAUACCGGAUAGGACCAUGGUGUGGAUACUGUGGUGGAAAGUUUUUUCGGUGUGGGAUGGGCCCGCGGCCUAUCAGCUUGUUGGUGGGGUAAUGGCCUACCAAGGCGGCGACGGGUAGCCGGCCUGAGAGGGUGGACGGCCACAUUGGGACUGAGACACGGCCCAGACUCCUACGGGAGGCAGCAGUGGGGAAUAUUGCACAAUGGGCGGAAGCCUGAUGCAGCGACGCCGCGUGGGGGAUGACGGCCUUCGGGUUGUAAACUCCUUUCACCAUCGACGAAGGGUUUCUGACGGUAGAUGGAGAAGAAGCACCGGCUAACUACGUG